ensembl:lncRNA
UAAUAUUUUAAAAAAUAUAUUUAUUUAUUCACCAGACUAAUAUGGAUUUAAAAGAUUAGCAAGUGUUUAUUUCAAGGCAUAUAGGAGCAGUGUUCGACAAGGUUUAGCACCUGUACAUACAUUUAAACAAACAAACAGAAACCCCAAAACAAAAGCACAGAUCUUCAAGGAUGGAAAGAUGGCUCAGUGAUUAAAAGUUGGCUGCUCUUGGAGAGGACCUAAAUUCCAGCCCCCAGCUUGCAGGCCCUACUACAGGCUAACUCCAGCUCUCGGAGAAUCUGAUGCCCCCUUCUGGUCUCUGCAGGUUACUGCACUCAUGUGUGCAGAACCCUGCAAACACAUAUAACUAAAAGUAAAACUAUUUUCCAAAAUCUUCUCAAAACUAUGACUAGAAGGAAAGCACUUUAAUCUAGUAAAGAUCAUUCGGAAAAACUGAAGUUACCUAAUUUAAAAGAUUAGUAAUUAAUAACAGUAGAUUAAACACUUCCUUAAGAAAGUCAGAAAUGGGGGUUGGGGAUUUAGCUCAGUGGUAGAGCGCUUGCCUAGCAAGCACAAGACCCUGGGCUCGGUCCCCAGCUCUGAAAAAAAGAAAAGAAAAAAAAAAGAGAAAGUCAGAAAUGGUUCAGUAUUCACAGUUUACAUCUGUAUUUGAAUGGCAGUGGAAGUUCUAGACAGUCCAAUAAAAAAGGAAAAUGUCUGUAACUCCAGUUCCAAAGAAUCUAACACUUUCUUUUGGUCUCUGUGGGCACUACCCAUGCAUGUGGUUCAUAGACAGGCAUGCACUCAAAACACUAAUACAUAUAAAUUUGCAAAGAAUUAGGUGACAGUAUCUUCUUAUUCACAGGUGCAGAAAAUCAUAAUUGACAGAGAAUUUUCAUGAAUUAAUAAAUGAGGUUAGUCAGUGAUUUCAGAAUAAAGUCAAUAAAAACCAUCCUUAAUAGCUAACAAUAAAAAUCUAAAACAGGGCUAGUUUAUAAUAGGGUUAAAAUAUGCAGAAUUUAGGGGUAAAUUUCACAUGUACAGACCUAUAUUCAGAAUGCCAAAACUUCGCUGAGAUAAAGUCAACAGACAGCAAGUGAACGAAUCCAUCCGGUGGAGUCAUGGAUCCAAAGCCUUGUUGGGGUCUGUGUGUACUCCUAGAGUUUCUAAGCAACAUACAGUGGUCAGCUGGACAGUGUUGGAGGGAGCGCUGUACGGGCUGAUGAAGUCAUGGACAGAGUCCUUAUAAGAGGCCCAGAGAGAAGCUGAGAUUCCUCUACCUUGGUUGCCUUUUGCUCUCCUGUCCCCUGUCCUCCAGAGGAUGGGGCAUUCAAGGUUUGAUCUUGGAAGCCUUGUCAAGCACCACAUCCAGCAAGGCCUUGAUCCUGGACUUCCAGCCUCUGGGACUGUGGCAAAUGAAUUCUGACCUUUGCUUACAAUCAACCUCCAGUGAUUUGUCUGUUAUGGUGAUGUUAGUGGAGUGUUGUUGACUUCCUUAAAAGAAUCUCCGUAGUUUAUUACCUUUGGGUAGAAAGUUGAAAGCUGAUUCUGCUGAUUAUGCUGAGACAUAUAGGAAAAACUAUUUUGAAGAAAUACGUUUUACUUCAUUUAAGAGUUGGUUUAUAGCCCUAAUAGUAGCUGGUCUUGGUGGUGCAUUCUAUUGACCCCAGCACUCAGGAGGCAGAGGCAGGAGGAUCUCUGUGAUUUUGACAACAACUGGGUCUACAUAGUAACUUCUGGGCCAGACAGGGCUACACGAUUAGACCUUGUCUGAAAGAACAAAAUCCUCACAGUAGCAAGUGUGUGUUAGCAUAGGGGCAGACCUAGGAAAUCAGCAGUACACAGUAGCACACACACGGUGACUCAAUGAGGGGAAGGGAGUUCUUGUCAAUAAGUCAUUCUGGGAUAAAUGGAUACCCAUACUGGAUAAAGCAGGCUUCAGAUUCUACCUUACUCUAAAUGGCUGAUGAGUCCAUAUGCAAGGGCUAAAAAAUGGCAAACCCACUAGAGCUGGAGGGACACAGUUUCUCUGUAAGCAUUUUAUGCUUUGCAUGCCAAAGCAACUCUGUCAGGGGUACUCAGCACUCUGUCAGGGGUACUCAGCAUUCUGUCGGGGGUACUCAGCUCGGACUCCAAAGCACUAGAACAUCUAAUGAUACCACACACUGAACCAACAUGGUUGUGUCCCACUAGUGCCUGGUUUACCAAAUCAGGUAGAGCUCUGAUACAGCUUUGUUUCCCAAGUCCUGGGCUACCUGAAGCUCUCUGUUCUGGAAGAAAGCAAAGGAAAAAAAAUCUGAUAUUAGGAGUGAGUUUGCAGGAAAUGCUAUUUGGUGCCAGAGAGCUUUGGUCACAUGGUUACCUCGCUUUCCAUGGUUAAGGCUGUCAUCCUCUGUGGAGAUCCAACAGCAAGUCAAGAGUUUCCAAAACCUGCUCAUUCCAGAAACCCAGGACUGCGACCGUCCUGCUGAGUGCUAGAGGCUGCACACCACGGUUCCACUUGUUAUUGAUCAUCAACCACCACCCUUUCUGCUGCACCACGGACCCAAGGCACAGGUAUGAGCUCUAUUUUUCGCUCUCCAUGAAAUCUCUUGCUGCCGACUCGAUCAGGGUUUCUAUUCUGAACAGCCCACACCACCAGGGCCUGGACCAUCAGGGAAGUGGUCUGUUCUGAUUGCCCUUAUCCAAGCCUUUCAUCUGACUAUUUCAAAGUGUCCUUUCCACAUUAAUUAAGUGAUGAAUUAAUCAACAAAGCCAUUGGCUAAUUGUCUUUCAUGUCUGGAAGCUCUUUCAUAAAUGUCAGGGAAAAUGACAUUUUCAGCGUUUAAAGAUACAUCCCCUCAACCUGAAACGCUGAACUACAGAGGGUGGCUUCCUGCCAGGCCAGAUCAGAGUGAAGGUGUAGGAUGAUGUGAAAUGCAGAGCAAUGGUUUCUGGGCUUGUAGCACUAGGUCACUGUCUGGAGCAGGCACCGUCUGCUUUCUGAUUUAGUUCCAAUAGGUAUAAAGGUACCAUGCUUCUCCUGUUUGGCAUUCAGCUGACUAAUCUUAUAGGUUAAUGUCCACGAUCCCUAUCUAUGAAAUGGAUAUACGUCUAGUGUUUUUGCAGAAACUAAAUCAUGAUGUAAAAGCUCAUGAUAAACUGCUAAGCGCAAUUAUACAAUGCUCUUUUGGGAUGGACAUUUAAUUCCUGGGCUUAUGGAGUGGGGCUGGGGUUGGGCAAGUUCUUCCCUGAAGAACUCAUAACUCUGCAACAUUGUAAAGAAUGUAGAAAGGAAAGGGGUGCAUUCGGGACAAAAGAGGAGCCAGGCAAAGGCAAGAGAGGGCUUAGCUUCUCUGACAAAGUGGCCAAAGUUUGCACAGCUAGGUUUAAAGACUGGGGAAAGUGGAGCUGGGAAGAGGGGUCACAAGCAAGAUCAUGAAGCCCCUCGAGGCCAUCCUAAGGGGUUUAGACUUGGGAUGGGGGGGUGGGAUUAAAGCAUUUGAAGAGGCAGUGGCAUGGUCAGAACUAUAUUUAGAGAGUUUGUGUGUUAGAUCAGAGCAGUCAAGACUAGGCAGAGGGCUCACAUAGGCUGGUGCAGUGACCUCAUGAUGGUCUGGGACAGGGAGAUUGUAACAAAAGUGGGUAAGAUCAUGUUAACUCAAGUGGUUCUGAGGAGGUCCAAUCUGCAAGCCAGGCGGUCAGGAGGCAGAGGGGGAUAGAUGGAAGAUGAUUCCCAGGUUCUCACUGAGUCUAAGGGAUCAAUGCCAGUGGUGAAAGGUAAUCAAAAGAAGCAGUCUGAGUUCUAGAAUGCUAAAACAGUCCCCAUUCUCUGCCUUGGGAACGUUCCUUGAAGACAGGUGGAAAAGUAUCUAACAGACUUAACAAUAUAGUCCUAAGGCUCCAGAGACCUUAGAUGGAUAGAUGUGAGACUGUCCUUAUUAUCCCUGAGAUCGUUGACUUACUGAUAAUACGGAAGAUACUUUGCAUCCAAAGGCUAGGAGAUGGCUACAUCAGCCAAGUAUUUGCCACCAAAGCAUAAGGGCUUGGGUUCAGAUCCCCAGAACACAUGUAAUAAGUAUCUGAAGUCCCAGCAUUGUAGAGGAAGAGACAGGCAGAACCUAGAGCUUCGCCACGUCAGAAAG